rnacentral:rRNA from 1 species
CUGCCGGUGAAAAACCGGAGGAAGGUGGGGAUGACGUCAAGUCCUCAUGGCCUUUAUGUCCAGGGCUACACACGUACUACAAUGGGCGGCACAAUGAGUUGCAAACCCGCGAGGGGGAGCCAAUCUCAAAAAACCGCUCUCAGUUCGGAUUGCAGUCUGCAA